UACGUAGGGGGCAAGCGUUGUCCGGAAUCAUUGGGCGUAAAGAGCGUGUAGGCGGCCAGAUAAGUCCGCUGUGAAAACUCGAGGCUCAACUUCGAGCUGUCGGUGGAAACUAUUUGGCUAGAGUCCGGAAGAGGAGAGUGGAAUUCCUGGUGUAGCGGUGAAAUGCGCAGAUAUCAGGAGGAACACCGGUGGCGAAGGCGGGUCUCUGGGCAACAACUGACGCUGAGGAGCGAAAGCGUGGGGAGCGAACAGG
rnacentral:rRNA from 1 species